rnacentral:rRNA from 1 species
UAGGGAAUCUUCCACAAUGGACGCAAGUCUGAUGGAGCAACGCCGCGUGAGUGAAGAAGGUUUUCGGACCGUAAAGCUCUGUUGUUGGUGAAGAAGGAUAGAGGUAGUAACUGGCCUUUAUUUGACGGUAAUCAACCAGAAAGUCACGGCUAACUACGUGCCAGCAGCCGCGGUAAUACGUAGGUGGCAAGCGUUGUCCGGAUUUAUUGGGCGUAAAAGC